GUAGGUGGCAAGCGUUGUCCGGAGUUAUUGGGCGUAAAGCGCGCGCAGGCGGUCCUUUAAGUCUGAUGUGAAAGCCCACGGGCUCAACCGUGGAGGGUCAUUGGAAACUGGGGGACUUGAGUACAGAAGAGGAAAGCGGAAUUCCAAGUGUAGCGGUGAAAUGCGUAGAGAUUUGGAGGAACACCAGUGGCGAAGGCGGCUUUCUGGUCUGUAACUGACGCUGAGGCGCGAAAGCUUGGGGAGCAAACAGGAUUAGAUACCCUGGUAGUCCACGCUGUAAACGAUGAGUGCUAAGUGUUAGGGGGUUUCCGCCCCUUAGUGCUGCAGCUAACGCAUUAAGCACUCCGCCUGGGGAGUACGGCCGCAAAGGCUG
rnacentral:rRNA from 1 species